UAGCGACCCCAGGUCAGGCGGGACU
rnacentral:rRNA from 3 species